AUGGGCCAUGCAUCCCAAAUUGCCAUUAACCCACCGGUGACAAAAUGCAGCAUGAAUUAGCCUGUCGAUUUUCUUCGAAGUUGUUCCCGCUCUGCGAAGAGACGUCUUUUAAAUUUCGAAUUCAAAAAUAUCCGUCCGUUAUUUGUAGUCGUCGUACGUAGUCAAUGAAAAAGCUGAAUAUGCGAUCACCUGCUUCAACGACCUCACAAGUGUAUCAGGACCUAUUGUACUAUGUCGUGACCUGUAUACUGGAACCUAUUGCGGAAUAAAAAGACGCAGAAAAUUCGAUUAGGAGAUUUUUAUCCGUGUGGCUAAAUGACACUGAAAGCUCCUGCAGGUCAUGACGCCGGCUUAAGCGGACAGAGUAUACGCGACGAAUAUAUGUGUGUAUACGAACAUUGGUUGGCCUUCCUAAUUGUACAUUAUAAAGCCACAUGGUCCUUAUGAUACAGCUAGGCCGGCACUUUUUCACUAUAAUAAAGCAGAACGUAUUGAGUGUCAAAAGGUAUCAAACAAAGACCUUCGGUGCAUAUUAAUACUCCAA